UGAAGAGAUGUGUAGGGCAAGGUAUAGGGGAAGGGGUGUGGAGCUUCCAUGCUGUGAUGGUUAAUACUGAGUGUCAACUUGAUUGGAUUGAAGGAUGCAAAGUAUUGUUCCUGGGUUUGUCUGUGAGGGUGUUGCCAAAGGAGAUUAACAUUUGAGUCAGUGGGCUGGCAGAGGUAGACCCACCCUUAAUCUGGUAGGCACCAUCUAAUCAGCUGCCAGCAAAUACGAAGCAGGCAGAAAAAUGUGAAAAGGCGAGAUUGGCCUAGCCUCCCAGCCUACAUCUUUCUCCCGUCCUAUAAUACACACACACACACACACACACACACACACACACACACUAUUAGUUCUGUCCCUCUAGAGAGCCUUGACUAAUACACAUGCCCUCCUUGGGAUGCCACCCUCUAGGAAUCUCCAUGUGUUCAGCUACGUGGAAGCUCCCUGAACCCAGUCCUUCCUCUUGGGUUUUUAGGAAGUUUCAUAACCUCAGCAUUCCUUCCUCCGGGGUAUAGAGCAGGACCCUCUCUGGAGAGGGUCUUAAGACCCACAGUGAGAAAGGGGAGGGUGUGGAAGUGUAGAGUCCUGCACUUCAGUCAUGGUUUUUGACCAUAGAUUCUUUACAUCAAAAAAAUACACACAGCCAUUAAUAAUUAGUCCAGCCCAUCAUAUUGUAUGAAUGUCUCCCAGUAUGAGGCCAUUCAGGUUUGUAGGCUUCCUUUCAAUCUUGUCAGGCUCCAAAAGGAGAAGGGAUCAUUGCAAACAUACAGCUUCAGCCUUUCAGGCAUGUGGAAUAAUUGAGCUAGGAGACAAUGUCAUCUUUUGUUCUGGGACUCUUUAGAGUUAUUAAUGUAAUAUUGAAUUUCCCUUAAUUUAUAACCCAUUUAUUCAGUUCUUUACCCUUAACUAUUAUUCAUUCUUUUCUUCAUUUGUCAUUUAUUUUUGUCCAGAUCUUUUCACCUUUGGAAGGGAUGUUAGGUUCGGCCACUGUGGUGGUUGAGGUUGCUGGUAGCAAUACUAGUCUAGCAAGUGCCUCCCCUUCAGUCCAUUCCAUUCACACAGAAUAGUGUUACAUAGGUUUCAAACUAAUGAAACAUUUUUAUCACCAGACAAUAGAGCUGUAUCUAUUCUUAACCCCAGUUUUGCCAGAUGAGGUGAAGGUGCAAUCUGCCUCCAUCAGAGCUUCAGGAAAUGCAGAAAUCACCUGCCUUCUUCGUUGAUCUCCCUGGGAGCUGCAGACCAGAGCUGUUCCCAUUAGGCCAUCUUGCCA
rnacentral:lncRNA from 1 species